ACUCUGUGCCAGGCGGCGGUCACAACCCGCCGGGAGCUGGACCCGGCGAGGUUUCGAUGAGCUUGGUCCCCCACCCUGCCCUUGGAAAAGGCAAUGGAGUGAGGUCUAGAGGCGCUAAAACAGUGCCUAGCCGUGUUGAUGAAUCCUGCACACGCGCCUGCCUGUGUGAUUCAGAGGAGACAGAACAGAAGCCGCCUUCUGCCAGGUAGCUGGCUAGGCUGGAGCUGCUGCGCACGCGGAGCAGGGGGACGGCGUGGAGAGAACUUGGCCAGGAGCUCGGUGACGGCCAGCUGCGACCCAUAACGUUCAGGGCUGGAUCUGGCAAAUGAAAGACGCCUGUGAUUUGGAGAACAGUAUAGGAUCGAUGAGAUUUUUGGCUCUGCGGUACAAUUCCUUUAUUAAUGACAAAAUACAUCAGUUUCUGACCCUCCCCCAGGGAAAGGUCACUGUGGAUAGGAUUUCGCUGCCGGCAUUCUAAGAAGUCCAGGCUGACUGCGCCCCAGCUGGGAUGGAAAGAACCACCAGAUACCCCUGGUUGUUGCUGUUUGUUGUUGAAUGCUGUGGGUCAGACAUUGUGCUAAGUCAGUAGACACCUAGUUUUGUUUAAUCUGGCCCAGUGACACACAUUACGUCCCCUGAUUCUAAUAUUAGGAGACCAAGAUUCAGAAAGAAGGGUUUCUAAGUCGAGGCCGCGUGCUUCUCUCCUCUCAAUGUCUUUUUGGCAAAACAGCACAGCUCACACAGAUAAAUGUCACUGUCGGCUAUGCAAAAUAUUCCGUGGCAAUACAGGCAACAAGUGACACAUUCAGACCUGGGAUCGUUCAGGCAGGUGCUACACUGAAGUGACAUUUGUUCUGGCUGAACCCGAAAGUUGGGCAGGAGUUCACCAUCUGACAGAGGAAAGACCGUCCCCAGCAGAGAAAGACAUAGGGCAGUCAGGGACCUGGGGGAGCUGAGCGCCCUGCUUGGGCUGGUACCCCAAGCCCCAAAGUUUCAGGGGAGGAAGGAUUCCAGGAUAAGGGACUGCUGCAGAAACGUGUCUUCUCCUGAUAUGAGUUGCAGCCUCAGGCCCACAAGCGUAAAGCCACUGUAGAGUCCAUAUUGAGACUGUCGCAAAACAGAAGGAAAGAGGAAAAAGAAAUCAAGACCAGUGACAUCAGAGAGAAAGAUGGAGAUGUUUGGGGCAAUUCCAGCAGGGCACGUAGGACAGUUUUUGUAUGUGGAAGAUGACUUGCAGGCAUCGGAUUGGCACUAUAGCGCUAACCUGGCCGGCUUUGUGUGUUCAAGACAGGAGCCAUAAAUACCCCAGAAUUUUUGGAACAGAAGAGGCAUUUUUUCACCAAUGAGGCAAGUGGGAUGCCACACCUGACAGAGGCUGCGCUAGAUCGAGAAUCUGCGAUGGUUUCCUUUGACCUAUAAAUAUUUAUUACGCGAUUACUCAGUGGUUUUGGGACCUCGGGAGGGGAUGGAAAUAGGACGGUGACGACAGCUGACUCAUUCCUGCCUCUAUGGAACAGUCAGCUGGGAUCUCCUCGAUGCUCAGAUCACACCCAGGCACAGCACUGAGGGAUAAGCCCUGCUGGGAGUUUCCAGAGAGAGAUGUGCUUCAGACCUCAACGAUCAAGAUCCAUCCGGCUAGGGAAGAGGGAGGAAAGGCAUCAAAGUGGGGGGAGCAGACUGGCAGGAGGAAGUGUGACCAGGUUAAAAGCCGGCGAGGCAGUGACGGGCAGAGAGUGGAACGAGCCAGGGCUGGCAGGGUGCAGGAAAAAGCCUUGGUCCAGUGUCCCUAGACUCUGGGCGGAAGCCAGACUCUCAAUGUGGCAAUGCCAGGGCCUCAGGGAGGUGAUUAGGCCCUGGGGCUCCAGCCACAAAGGGAUUUAUAGGGACUGAGUGCUGUAAGUCUAGACUGAAUCUCCCCGGAUGAGCUCUGUACCCCAGGAGAGAGUUGCCCUCAUCUCCCUGGCCAAGUGAACUCUUCACAUGCAUCACUACCUGCCUGCCUGCUUCUCCACUGUGUUUGGGCCAGCACACCAGAAGCCGUGUAGUCCUGGUGCCAGGCUUUUGGACCCAUGGGAUUGCCAGCUAAGUAAACCUCUGUGUAAGUUACCAAGCCUCAGGGGUUUUGUUACAAUAAUGGAGAGGAGACUGAAAAACCAAGCUGCAGGGUGGACUGAGCCAAAUUCCAGCCACCAUGUUAAGUGAGUCACAGACCACAUUGCCGUAGUCAGUGCUGCCCACUGUGAAGGGAAAUCUGUCUCUCGAAUGGGAAGGAAAGUUUCUCCUGCCUUGGAAGUUUCUGGAUGUCUUACUGCCUAUGUGAGUCUUGGAUACUUCUGGGCUCUAUAAUUUUGCUUUUUAAACAUUGUAUUGAUUCCCGAUACCCAAAAAAACUAAAUAGACAAACAUUGUAAUCUCAGGGAGCUCUAGCAGAGAUGAAAAGACCAACACAGAAGUAAACAGUCUGAUGUAAUCCCAGCACUCAGGAAGCUGAGGCAGGAGGAUUGCCGCGAAUUCAAGGCCAGCCUGAGCUACCUAGUGAGUUCAGUGCCACCCUGCACUGAACAGCAAGUUCCAUCUCAAAACAAAGCAAACCAAACAAAAUGAAUAAGCAAACAACAUAUGACUUAUAAUAUGGUAGACGAUUUAUACUUCAAAGGAUUUAUUGUCCAAAGUAAUGAACUUGUCUAUGUUUUUUAAAGGUUAUGAGUAGCUUUAUUUAUUUAUUUCUUACUGAAAUACUGGGACUGAUUCCAGCAACCGAGGAGCAAGCCACAGAGCCAUCUUCCCAGGAAGUAGAGUGUGGCACCCUCAUCUUGCAGGGGUGGCACUGGCGGCAGUCCUAGGACUCCGGAAAAGCAGCAGCCUCAACUCGGAAAAAUCCCGGGGGUGAACUUAAGCGACUUGAGCUGGGGACACAGCCGCUGAAGCAGUCAGUGGCUGAAGAUUUAGGAGCUGCAGUGAUGGGGAAAGCUGUGUUUAAAAUAAACAGCGUGGGGCUAGCAGCCCAGCCGCCGGGCCAGACUGAUGACAGCACUCUCCAUGCAGCUCAUUCUUGUCACUCUGCCACCCUGAGCUCUCACAUUCCAUGACGGGAGCCCUAGUGCUGCCAGGGGCCUCGGCUCCCCACCGCCCCUUCGCAGAGAGCUGGCCUGGAGAGGAGCUUGAGGCCCAGGAGAUGCGAUGCAGGGCGCGGGCCCCUCGGCUCCUUCUCUCCAGCAGGGAAGUUGAUCAAAUGCAGGAGCAAAACAUCCUUCCAAGUGGGGAUUAGCAUGUGGAGGAAACAGCACGGCGCCAGGGAAAUAAAGCCUUAUCGAGGAAGGGAUCCCGGUAAACAGGGACGGGGGUGCCUGUACCUCUGCUGUGCCUCUGUGUGUGUUCCACUGACUGAGUGCAUAUUACUAUUACAGGGUUCCUCUGGGAUCCACCCUAGUCCUCCAGAGUUGAAAGCAACACUCAAAGACUUCAAGGCCCUGUCCCUGGAGUCUGUGAAGGUUGCAAAAUACACUACAUGGGUUUUGUAGAACUUUUAAACGAGGGAUUGGUACUAGAAGGAGCAACCUGUGUUACCCAAGUGGUCCUCAGUACAAGCAUGAGGCUUCUGAGAGUAGAAGCAAAUGCGAUGUGGACGGAAGAGGAGAUGUACAUAUGACCAAGAGACGGAGACUGGGCUGAUGAGGCCAUGGACCAAGGAGUGCCAGGCACCACCAGAGCCUGGCAGGGAGCAGAAGCCCCCGCAUUGAAGCCACUAUUGUCCUGAGCCCUCCUGUUUGUGGUGAUCUUAUCACAGCAGCCAUAGGAAACUCAUGCACCCUGUAAAACAAUAAAAUGUGAAUAGCGCCCUCUUCUGCCAACAAAGUACAGUUGAAAUCUGACAUUUGAGCCCCUUGUAAAAUGAAGAAUAAAGAUCGGACAAGGAAAAGGGGGCCCCCCGCAAAAACACUUUACAGUGGAAAUUCCCUGGGAUCGGAGAGAAUCUGGCAAGGCUGGAAUGAUUUUUUUCCUUCUAGUUGAUAGCCAUUAAUUACUUACAGAGCUCAGAGCAAGUCCCAGGCUCACCUUUAAUAUACAUUCCCACUUAAUCCUCCUGCUGACAUUUUAUGGGUGAGGCCCUGACGUUAAAUUUCUUGUUCAAGCAAAUGCAAGAGCUCUGGCCUUGAGCCCGUGCCUUGGACAGCUCCACCACAGAAAGCUGCCUUUCUCUCCAGCCAGAAGCACAGCCUCAAGCCAGGGGUGUGUGUCAGGGGAGAAGGCCUCCAAGCAGGGGCGAGCCGGCGUGAGUAGGCGUGGGGUGGUGCUGUGGAGACCAGGAGGCUUUGGGCAGACAUGAUCAGAUUUUCGCUCCCGACAGGUCGUUGGCACGGCUGAAUGGAGAAUGACUUAGACGGGACUGAGACGAGAGUACCAAGAAGUGGGACUCGGCAUAUGGGCAGACGUGGAGGAGAAAUGUGACUGGCGUGAACCAAGGCUGUAACAGUGGCAACGGGGAGGAGGCGUGAGAAUUGACCUUGUCAUCAAUGGGACCUGGGACAGGCAAAGAGAAAGGAGCAGGGAUUGUGCACCAUGCCUAAGGAGUGCUGGUGCCACCUCCAUCCAGUCCCCCAAGUUCAUCUCUGCAGCUUCAGCUCUCUGUUUAAGCCACGAACCCGAUCUUGCUGUUUCUGCCCUUGUGUUUCCUGUUUCCUGUCCUUUCAUCUCCACUUUUGCCCCUGAGCCUCCAGCUUUGUGUCCCUGUUAGUGCAGAGCCCGCUGCACGGCACGGUGGGGUCACACCCAAUGUUAGCUCAGGCUCACGCCUGGACUCUGCACUUGCUUCUGCCUCUGACCCUGGUGGCGCUGACUUGGGGAAGAAAUCACACCACAGACAGGAGGGGAAAGGUGCUUGGUGUUCAGAAACCUGGGCUUUGAAUUACAGAAGCUUCCGGGCCUGUAGGCUCUGACUGUAAUAAAGUUGCGAUGCUGCGGGACAAGGGCUGCCCAGGAAGCGUGGCCCAGGCUCAGGGGUCAGGGAGGGCAGGGAACAAAGCCAGAGGGAAGCAGCUGUGCUGUUGUGAGGAAAGGGCAUGCACCACCACCUCAGGACAGAGAUCAUCUGCGUCCUGGUAACACACAGACCCCAGAGUCCCCUGUGCCAUAGGGAGGGGUGUGUGGGAGAAAUGACGGAAACCUUCCUGAGGCGUCCCACAGAAAGUACGUGACUUUCCCUGCUCAGCAGCAACUGCAGAGAGCAAGGGGGCCACCUACUGUGACCUGAACAUUUGUCUUACCCUGAAGUUUGUGUGUUAAAAUCCUGACUUCUAAACUAGUGGCCUAGGUAUGGGUUAGAUGGUGAGGUUGGAGCCCUUAUGAAAGAGGUUAGUGCCCUUGUAAAAGAGGCCGAGCAAAGAGUGUUUCCCUGCCUGCUCCGUGAUCACACGCUAGGAAGGUGCAUGUAAAGAAUGAGCCCCAGCAGGCCCAGGGUUUACUUGGUCCUAGAUCUGGGAGCAAUAACUGUGGUCCUUUGUGCUACGACCACGGCAGAAGAAGACCUCAUCCAAGCGGUCACUGGAGGAAGAACAAGCACCACUGUCCAGGGGUCAGUGCGCACAGAUGACCAAGGACCACGUGCUCCUGCCCCUGCCAGACACUGAGCCUUAGCAUUGUGGGGCCCCCAAAUGCAAAGGGGCUAAGUUAACUGAGGUGACAUUUGCACCAUGCAGGGACCUUGAGGGCUCCUAGCACAAAUGGUCCCGAUUUCUGAAAUACAUGAGUCUAGAGUGAGCUCCAUCUCUCCGGCCUCUCUCUCUUCCAUGUGGCCAGUUUCUGCUGUCAACAUGCUGCUUUCAGAUAACUGCUGCACAGUGACCCUGGCUACUGAGGCCACCGUCACUGUUGACCCAUCACGGCUGAGCUCUUCUUUCUGGCUCUAGAAAUCUUAUUCAUCUGAAUCCCAGCUGUUCUGAGAAGCUGUCUCCGGCAUUUCUCCCCAUCAACCUCUCCUUCAUCAGCUAGGCCUUGUCUGUGCCGUGUGGGUGCAUAAUCAAGUUUAUAUACAAUAUACACUGCGUGUGUACAGAAAGCUGUAUACUAUGAUUAUAACACCACAGUGUUACAUUACUAUGAUAGCAACAAUAUGUGAUGAUAUGAACAACAUAAUAUAUUAGUAACACCAUUAUAGUAUGAUACUAAUAUUGCAUAUUAAUAACAUAAAACUAUGUUGAUUCAAAGUUCUUGAAAGGAAAAUGGCAUAUUUCUAUGUAGCUCGUAGUCUCUUCAGUGGAUGGCAUGAUACUUCUGAUGGGCUGAAUUCUGAAAUAUUUCCUGAGUGACUGAAAUACGAGUGGGCGAAUCACAUUUUAAGUCUGUCACACUGGUGGUGUUUUUGACAUAGCCCCUGGACUUCGUUACAGCCUAUCAGAGAAGGAACAAAUAGCUGUAGGUAGCAAAUCGAUGAAGAGUUUAGAGAAAUCAAUUUUUUUAUUGAUUGGCUCUUUGUUCUGAUGGAGGAUAAGUGAUGGUAAAAGCGAUGUAAGUUUUCGAGGUUGAUUCAGAGAGGGAAUGUUAUACUUUUUGAUCUUGGAGUUCCAGGUGGCCCAGGGCGCCUCUGUGGUGCUUGUUGUCCCCCCCGGCAAGCAAAGGUGUGGACUGGAACAGAAGUGGAGCUUUGUUCCCAUGUGGAGCUGAGCUCACAGGCUGGUGGCUCCAGCCUUGGGCUCCCUGUGGGGCUUUGCCUGGGCCCAGUUCGUUGGGCAGACACUGUCUGUACCAGGAGGAAGAGGGAGCAGCCAGUGAAAGGGGACAUAAAUGCAUAAUCAAGGACAAAUGGAUCCGUUCUUCAAAUGUGAGCCAUAUUUCCUUGGAUUUGGGGUGAAAAAGAAAAGAGAAAAAAGCUUCUUUCAAUCCCUUUACCUGCAGGACUUAGGUAACAUGAGAGUUCUGAUCAGAUACUGAAAAUCAGAUGAAGAGCCAUUGAAGACCCACAGGAAGGCCCCAUUUGGUCCUCGCCUGGAUUUCUUAACUGUAUAUUUUCUCUCUGGGAGGUCUUAUCCCUCCUCCCCCAUGACCAGAUUCAUGUGGAUUCAGAAGUUUCUUAUUUCUCUCCUGCUGAGAACAAUGGACAGCUUAUUCAUAGGGAGGCAGUGUCACCUAGUGGCUGGAGGAGGGGCCUGGGGAUGGAGUUUGACCUUGCUAUGGGAACUCCUGACCUUGAGCAACUCGCAGGAAGCAGAUUUCAGUGUGCUGUACCAGGCUGGGAAAUUCACACCAAGGACAGCAGAGUUCCAGAAAGAGAAGAGUGCAAUGUUUGGAGACGUGAGAACGAAGCAAGACCCUUGGAUUCAUAGUUCUUACUUUCUGGUGAGAACAAGACAGCAAACAUGGCGGCUUGGGAUGGAUGAUGGUGAUGAUGGCCCAGGAGAAGCAUAAACACAGAGCAACCAAGUGGGAAGCUGGCACGGGGAGACCGCACAGCAAAGAUCCCCUCAAUUCCUUUUUCCCUAGCCGUCAUCUGGUACAGUAGGUAAUUAAAAGAGGAAAAAGAAGUCCAAAGGGAUUUCAGGUGAGUUCUUUUUUCUUUACCAUCCAUUUCAUUUCAUUUUCUACUAUUCACGAAGAGAAAGAACAGGAUUAUAAGGUAUGGGAACAGGGACCAGAGACAGGGGUUGGGAAAUCGAGCCACACCUUGUCUGGUAGGAAACAGAUUUUCUUAAUACAAUUGUGUCCCCAGGGGACCUUGGUGAGUGGCCUGCUUGGGCAUGGACUGGAGGUUGUAAGAGAACAUCAGUCCCUCAAGGGGCGGGGACCGGCGAGGUGGCCACAAGGUGGCUGUGCUGCCUGGGACCUGUUGCCUUCAUGGAGCUGGGUCCCUGCGGGACUCCCCAUGGCCUUUCAAUCGCCAAGCUCAAUGCCCUCUCUCCUUUCACUUCUGGGCAUGGACACAGCCCUAGACUCCCAGGCUCAACUCACCUUCCCAGGUUUUAGAGACCAAAGACUUUCUUGGGCCAGAUUCACCCCCGAUCUUUCCCUAGACACAUUCUUUAAUUCACACACACAUGCACAGCCUUUCCCUCCCAAUGAACAUGAUGAAGGGGAGAGAAAGAAAGGCGAAGGAUCCAAGGGAACAGACAGCUCCUGCCUUUCAUCUCAAGUCUCUUUGCUGCUAUGGUUCAUGGGACUUUGGUUUUGGAGUCGCAGCCCAAUUUUAACGUUCGAGCUGCCUAUUACUGGUGGAAAAGGGGGGCAAAAAAAGAGCCGCUUCCCCGUCUCUUUGCCUUCAUCUGCCGUUCACGUGGAAGUGUGUGCGUCUGACCCACACCUCGCUGGCAUGUCAGCGUGCAGCCGCAGGACGAGGGCGUUUGAUUUAUAAAUGGAAUGUAUAAUAGGCACCGUGCCUUCUGAGCCGAACGUUCACGGAAAAUCACAUGCCGCUCACAUGAGGGACCGAGAUCUUUUUUUAUUAUUUUAAUGAAUUGAGUUUUUUCAGUGCACCAGGGAGAUAAGAAGAUACCUGCCAAUAACCCUCUGAUUGUAUCCUCGGCCGAUUGGUGGGCCUGGGCCUGCGCACUCCUCUCGUCAAUUGAGUUUGUACGUUAAGUCAAGGUUUAGCUUUGGAUGUGAAGCUCUCGCUCAAACAAAGCCUCAGACACUCCGACAGUGGAAACCAUCACAUAAUUCUCCUCUUUGUUUCUUUAAAGAGCAUGGGGUUGGUAAAAAAAAAAAAUCCAUUUUGGGAAGACUAGGUCUGAAGAUAAUGAUAGUGAAGAUGAGAAAGGACAGCAGGUUGCAAGUUCUGGCCUAAGUUUGGAAAGAGGAAGGGGGAGAAAGGUUGAAAAGGUAAUAAACUAUAGCAAGGCCAACAGAUCAACCAACAUGAGAAAAGCCAACAGGUAACAGGGGGCUCUGGAGCUUUCUGAAGAACCGAGAUCAGGAGGAAAGCGUUUUGAAUGAGAAAUAAAAUGUUCCUUCCUGUCAGGGAGGAAGGGAGGUGUACCGUGCUUGAGAAACGGGAAAAAAUGCAAUUAAAAAUGAGAUAUGAAUAAAGAACAGGUGAGAGAGGAUGUCACCCCAUGGCCUCUGGAACUGGGUUUCUGCUGUCUCCAGAAGUUAUUUUUUUUCUCCCCCUGCAACAAAAGAACAAUGUUGUGGAAAAGUGGGAGCCAGAUCCGCUAGGAAAAUGGGACACGGUGAAGCAGAUAAAGGAGACAAAGACAACUCGGUCACACACUGUAACCUGGAGGCAGCCGAGGUCUGAGACAAAAGGCCAGCAAGAUUCAGAGCCAGCAAGGGGACUGAAGCAUGGGAAGGAAGGAGGGGAAGAUGAUUCACAAUAACGUUUGAAAGACAUUGGCUUGGAUAUCUAUUAGCCUGUCGCACGCUGCUUGGCCUUGAGGGAGGCCUUUGUUCAGUGAGCCAUUUCCCAGUGUUGAGGCAGUAAACAGGAAAGGAGUUUGAAAGAUGGCUGCGGAUGCUCGGUAGGUAGUGUUUGAGAGGGAGGCUGAGAUAAGGCUUUGGCUCUGAUGAGGGACAGAUUGGAGACAUUGUCACCAAGGAGGAUCAUCUCCCUCCACCACUGACCUCUGAGAGGAAACAUGUGACUGAAACGCCAGGAGAGGAGGCCUCUUCAUGAGACCAACGUUUCCGCCACAUCCUCAUCUGAGGUAAUCGCACUUACAUUUAUUUCAUCCCGGAUACAGACAGGAAUAAAGAAGCUAAGAACCACUGUAGGGGAGCGGAACAUUCUGAACUCAAAAGGAAUUCUGCUCUGGGAACUCGAGCCUAUGUCUGUGUCCAUGUUCUUUCAUAACAACAAGAACAGGAGACACCAUUUUCUGUGAGACGUGGUCCAUCUAUUAGGCCUUUCUCCCAGAAAAUAGGAUGGUCAGAUAAUUUGUGGAAAAGGAUAAUCAUUCAUUAUCUUUGAAUCAUCCCAAAAUAUAAUAUCCUUCACCCUUCUUUAUUGAACAUGGUGGCUCUGAAAGGAAUUUCUCUUCUGUUAUUUGUUCUCUGUAAUAAAAUGGAUUUCCCCUCAAUCAGUCAAGGAGCAACUAUGUAGUUGGUGUUUAUUUCAGCAAAACAAAACAAAACAAAACAAAACAAAACAAAACAAAACCAAAACCUAUUCAUAACUACAGAGUUGGUGUUUAGGGGGUCUAUUGGUAAAAAAUUUGGCCAAAAAUGGGAAACAAGAGGAUCUGGAUACAAAUGAAAGAAAUCCAAAGUUUGUUUCCCAUGGAAUUGAGACACUGCCAAAUGGCACAUGAAAAGACACAGAAAGAGCUCAAAACAAACCUGGGAAACAGAAUUGUCUGAGGUAUCAGCAAGGCCCAGAGUCACCUGCGUGUGUGUCUGUGUGUACCCAGUGGAACGUGACUGCCCUGGCUAACCUUUUAGAGCAUUCUGUCAGGGAGUCAGUGUACCAGUGCUGGCUGUAAGGACAGAAAGGCAUUUGGGUCUUGGCUGGCAGAUGCCCAGGGCUGUGUAGGCUCCCAAGGGACCUAGGUUGCUAGCAGAACAAACGUGAGUCCAAGGGGCACUGGAGAGAACAGCUCAGCAGAAAUAGGGAUUUGGAAAUUAAACGCACAUUUUGGCUCUUAGCCCACACAAAGGGCUUGUUGCCGUCUUGCGUCUUCCACAGAGGGUAGCAGAAGGGCCUGGAAAAUUGAAGGCCUUCGUGUUGUCCUCUGUCUCCCUCUCACUCUAAGCAUGUCUUCUGAGACUUGAGGGAAGUGGUGAGGCCUUAGGGCAAGUUUCAAAAUAGUGCCUGAGACUCUCAAUAGUGCUUGAGGGUCUUGCUCUGCUGAGUUGGGAAGCUACUGAUCAGACUUCCUCAGCUAGUGGUGUGGAAUCACUCCGUUGUUCCAUUGUGUGCCAAAAGCUACCAUUGAUUCUUCAAAAGAAAAACCAAGGCAGAGAUAUUUCCUUCAGACAGAAUUCUAGGCUUGAGUGUAGAGGACCAGCAAUGACGCAUUCUAUCUGUGCGGCAUGGUCUAGCUUUCGCGUGUUUCUAGAAUGCACUCUCUGGUUUAACACUUGGAUGGUUAUCUGCUUUGACUUGGUAAGAUGUGAGCCACAAGCUCUGGGUCUUAUUUGGCUCCUUAUUUCCAUGACCACUGUUUAGCAGUGCACAUGGUAGACCUGUGAUUAGUGUCUGCUAAAUAACUAAAAAUAUUCAUUUUGCUUCCAAGGAAUUUAAGUGAGUCUUUAAUAACUCAGUCCUAGGGGCUCUGGUGCCCUAUGCAAAAAAUAAGAUGUUUGCACUAGGUGUGCACACAUUAGUUGGAUAGCAGAGCAACCCUGGGAAUGUAUUCAGUGGACAUUUACACCAGAGCUCCUCCCCAUCUGCAUAGUCAGAAUCUCUGAGAGCAGGACCAUCAUUAGCGUGCUUGAGAGCCAAUGCACAUGGUGACCUCUGAAGUCUCUUCCACCUUAAAGAGUCUCUGAGAUAAAAUGCUCCCAGCCCGCUUUCAUGUGUUUACCAUCAAAUUGUUGUAGAAAGCUAAAUGAAAAGAGAGUCUUUCAGGUCUUUUUCUAUAGAAGUAACGAUAAUGCAUCUUUAAAGUUAUUGUGUAGAGAAGUAGAAAAGGAGAAGAAAAAAAUACAUGCUUGACUUACGAUUUCAUUUUCACCCAUUUUCCAGAAGAAAGCUAUGACUACUGUUGGAAUGCCCAUCUUUAUGUAGUGUGUUGGCAGUGGCUUCCUGUCACUUUAUUUGUGGUGCUUUUCCACAAUGGUAUCCUCCGAUGCACACGAAAAGGUCGAAGAAGAGCGGAUCGUGGAAGAAGCAGGCAGUACAAAAAGCUCAGAGGUGGCGUCCUUGACCGCUAUCAUCCAAGAGUCUGCUUUGUCUUGAGUCUGCGGUUGAGUCAAUGAGCUAAUUGCAAUUCUGACAUUUUUCAGUUUUACCUGGGUGACUUUAUCCACACUUUUGGUUCAUGGCUAUGAAGCAGAUAGUGGUUUUGUCUUUUGCAAAUGUGGGGUCACAGUAAAUUGUUUUCACCCCAGAGACUGGGCUGGGCCUUCUGGGAAGUGGUGAGGCCUUAGGGCAAGUUUCAAAAUAGUGCCUGAGAUAGCCAAAUGGGAUAGGAGGGAAUGUGGAUGAGGAUUCUCAAGAAGUCUAAAUGUCUCUGCUUGGUUUUUUGUUUGUUUGUUUUCUUAGGGCAGAGAUGAGCUGAAGGGAGGGCCCAACCAGUCUAUCUUAGUUCCCUAGUAAGUUCAAAAGAAGAAGAAAGAGUUACGAAAUCGUCUUAGGUGAGUCUACCCAAGAACAAUCCUCAGCCAGGUAGUCCUGUAGCGUCCCACUUGAACCCCUUUCCUCAUCAUCCUUUAGGCCUCUGGUUUGGACAAAGAAGCCACCGGAAAGCCCAGACUGCAGGCAGAUGGGCCUGUGUUCACGGGAGUAGGUGGAGCCCUGGAGUAGGAGGAGGUGGCUCAGAGGGCAGAAGUGACAGGAGCAGCCCUCCUGGGGGUGCCAUGCAGAAGGUGUGUAGAGUAGAAAUUCAGGGCCCUGAACUUUUGCAUUGUCAUUAACAUACGUAAAUUACUACAGUGGGAAAGUGUUAGUGGCUAUCCAUACCGACAAAGGUAAGGAGCUCAUUUAGAGUGGUACCAAAAAUUUCAAAUUUCCUAUUCUUGUGUGCGAGAAUUCAGGAGAUUUAAAUGCUGUACAUCAAAAGAGCAAUGCGUCAGAGAAUUAAUUCAUGUGACAAAUAUUGAUUGGAUGGACAUAUGUUACAGGUACAGUGGGUGGCACUAGAAAGGCUGCCUUGGUCUCCCGCAUCUGACUGACUUUGCCAUCAGCCCUUAGCCUGGACCAUGAGCGACCUGAUGAACUGAAGCCAAGAGAUGCAGCCUGAUGGAUGUUUCUGUAGCUCACUGAUGCUCUUUUCUGGAGGUUUCUACGGAUUCCUUCAGAGGUCUUAACACCGUGGGGGAAAGACGAGGGGAUGAGAUCCUAUGAGUGUCCUCGUCUCCACGCUUUUCUGUCCCUGUCUCCGCUUGGAUAGAGAAAUACAGAUGAGUGGAAUGGUGCUGCAAAAUGGAGAAGCAACCAGCUGACUUGUUUCUUGAAAAAUUUCCCAGUUAGUCUAAGUCACUUUGUUGCUAAAAAAUGUGUUAUAAGAGAAAGCAGACUUUAAUUCCUUGCCAAAGAAAGAACCAAUUGUUUACUGAAAUUGGAGUAGAAUUUAAGGGAAAAAUAAGACUGCAGUGAGGAACUGCACACUAAGGGUGAUGUGUUAACGAUCUUAAGUGAUGUUUAAUCCCACAGAUGUUGAGAAGCAUCAUCUCAUUUAAUAAACUCAAUAACUAGAUAAUACACCUGCUAUUAACCACAUGGCACAGAUGAGGAAACAGAUUCAGGGAGAAUAAAUAUCAGCAUCAGGCUGACUCUUGAUGCUGAACCGGCACUUUAAGCUUUAGACUAUGUCCUAGAAAGGAAAGAAAUUUGCUCUGUGAUCUGGAAAAGAAUCAGCAGGUAUAAGCACUAAUUUAGUCAUCUUCAGGAGUCAGUGAAAAUCUGCUCUAAAACUACAUCUGAGAACUACACUUCUCUUCAACCUUGAAAUGAAGAAUUUUCUUUCCAUGAACUAUAAGAAAAUGUUUGAUCUUUUUUAAAUUUUUAUUUUGAAAAGAAUAAAACCAAAUGAGAAAAGAAAAGAAAAAAACAAAAUGGGGUCAUUCAAAACAAAAGGAUGGACAUAGUACAUAAUUUAAAACCACAAUACAAGGAGAUCUACAAUGGUUACCAUGAUGUCUCUUGUUAUCUUCAAUAAAAUUGUCCAUAUCAUCAGGUACAAUAAAGUUGAACAUAGCAGUAUGGAAUAAAAUCAAUAAAAACAAAACAUUGGAGACAUUAUAGGACUUCAAAAGAGGGUAAUAGUCAAACCAGAAUGCGUAUCAUAGUGGAUCUUAUUGUCUUCAGAGUCAUUGCCCUCAGACUUAAUACUAUCAAACAUAAUAGAUUCAAAUAAAAUCAGUCAAGCCAAGACAGCAAUUGAACAAAACAGAUUCAAAUGACACCAAAACAAGGCAGUGAAAGCAAUACAGGGCUUCAGAUUAAGUUAAUAGGAGAUUAAAAAUGUUUACCAUAGUAUAUCCUGCUGUCUUUGGAAUAGAAGUCUAUGCCCUCAAAUCUAGUACAGGUAGACAAACUGGAACAGAAUAUAACCAAACUAAACAGAGUGAUGAAAGCAAUAUGGGUUUCAAAUCAUGAUACAAGAUUAACAAUGUCCUCUGCCUUCCCUAUUUAGACAGUUCCUCCCCUUUCACUUUCCCAGGGUGCACUGUACAUUUUGUGUCCCACUAAAUUCUUUAGUUUUUAGGUUAGGGAGACAACCUGCUAUUUACCUAAGUGGUUCUGAACCUUUUUACCCCCGAGCUUGGUCUCAAGUUAUAUCCAUUUACUUACAAAAGCCUCAAGGUUUUCUUUCCUUACAGCUGAGUAGUUCUCCAUUGCAUAAAAGUGUUAUGUCUUGCCAACCAAUCUGCAGCUGAUGGGCGAGCUACCCUCACUUUAUUGUGGUUCCCUGUCAUAUAGAGCAUUAUUUUCUCAUCUUUGACUUCAGUCCAUAAACCCUCUUUCAGGUUAAUUAUAUUUCUUAUAUAAAGCAUCUUGCUGGACCCUGUUUCCUGAUCCACUCUGCCUGUAUUUUUUUUUAUUAGUGUAUCGAGGCCAUACAUUUUAGCGAUUAUGGCCAGUCUUUCUAUCUCUGCCAUGCUACUUUUCUGCUGUUUGGUUAUCUACUUUCCCCUUCAUUACACUAUCUUCCUCAUUCAGUAAGGUUCCUCUGUCGCCGUUCUUGAAAUCAUGGUCUUUUUUUCUGUCUCUAGAAUGUCUUUCAUUUUUUGUAGGGUUGGAUUGAUGGUCAUGAACUCCCCCAGAUCCUUUUUGUUGUGGAAGCAUCUUGUUUCUCCAUUAAUUUUGAGAGGUAGUUUUACAUCAACCUGGGUUGGAGGUUAUUUUCUUUUAGGGCUUGGAAUAGUUUGCUCCAAGCUCUUUUUGAUUUGAUGGUUUGUGUCGAGAAGUCUGUCAUGAUUCUGAUGGGGUUUCCCUUUGAUCUGUUUCUUUUCUCUGACAGCUUUUAAUAUUCUGUUCUUGUGUUGAAUUUCUGGGAACUUGAUUAUCAUGUGCCUGGGUAUAGAUCUAUUUUGGUUAUAGCUGCCUGCAGUUCUGUACGCCUCAUAUAUCUGGAUAUCAUUUCCUUUUCCUAUGCUUGGGAAGUCUUCUUUAAUUAUUUCUGUAAAUAGCCUUUGUAUUUCAUUUGUGGUUACUCCUGCUUCUUCACUCAUGUUUUUUAUUCUUAAGUUAUAAAUUCUCUUGACAUCUUCUAGCCUUUGUAUUGUUACUUCCUGGUUCCUUGUUAUCGUUAAGAGAUCUUUCCUUUCACGAUCACAUAUUGCAAACCUGUCUUCAAGGUUUGAUAGUCUAUCUUUAGUUUCUUUCAAGCAGUUUUGCCAGCUUUCAAUGGAGUUUUUAAUUUCCUGGUAGUCCCUUUGAGCCUGUUUGAUUUUUUAAAAUAUUUUUCACCAAAGGUUUCUCUCCUUUUUCUAUGUUCCUCUAUUCUUCCACUGUGUCUUCUUGACAGGUACUUAGCAUCUUUUAUUAUUUUUCUUAUAUCUUCCUUUACUUGUAUUAGAAUUUCUGUUUUGAGUUCUUUUAUAAUGUCACAAAGAUAAUUAUGCCAGAUGCUGCUUUUUCAGGUGCUGCAGGUGUGCAACCCCUGAAUUCUCCUGUGUUUAUUUCUCUUGGGCCAGUAUUGUUUGGGUUGAGGGUUGGAGACUUCCUUUUGUUUCUUCCUCUUGUCAUGUUUCUAGUUUCUUCCAGAGGAGUGGAUAAUGGGGGUCCCUGGCACUUCCUGUAUUGGCUAUGAUUACUCUGUAGCGUGCUGGCUAGGGAUUGCUGCCCUUUCCUGUCUGCUGAUGACCACUGAAGUACAAGUAGGGAUGGGGCAGGCUGGUCCCUCUCUUCUGACCUGGUCAAGCUCUGGGAGUCUUCACCACAUUAGUGUGUGCUGCACAAACGGGGCUGGUUAAGGAUAACUUCAGGGAGACCUUGUCCUUUGCUAUUGGAUCAUGCACAGGGGCAGGAUUCAGUCCAAGCAAUUCUCACCAAUCUGCUCUGUGCUAGGAGUUGGCUGAGUGAAGCCGCUGCCAUUCUGGUUCUGGGCUUAACCUGCCCAACUCCAAAAUGUCACCCGGCCAGUCACCCACUCCCUUGGGAGGACCGAUUUCCCUGCAAGCACCACGAGCUGGCACGGAUCUCUGAGCUGAGCACUAUUCUCCAUGCUGCUGCCACUCUCUGCAACUGCAUUCUCCUGCUGAGGCCCUUAGGCUCGCCAGCCUCCAGCUUCACCUCGACCACAUGUUUUUGGAUUCCAGCAGCUUUUCAUUUACAAUGGAACCAGCUGCAGUGCAAGUGCGUCUGGCUACAGUUUUCCAUCCACAACUUUCUUUUUUUUCUUUAUUUCCCCCCCUUUUUCUCUCCUCUUUUCCCUUUUUCCUUUAGUUUCUUCCUGGGUCGAGAGGAUCCAUCCCCUUCCAUCUGGUCUCUCCAGGAUGUUUUAUACCAGCAUCUGAGCUGUUUCUCUCAGAGAGGCUUUUUAUUUUGCUGCUUACUGAUCCACCAUCUUCCCAGCUCCCUGUCAGUGCUUGAUCUAUGAACAAGAUCACCUUUGUUUACUACCUUUCAACUGGGUGACUUGAAAUCUGAAGUUGGGGUGUCUCCAGUCUGUGGAAGGGUUGGAAUGGAACAGCGCUACACAUGCUAAGUGAGCUGUCUACUACUGAGCCGCACCCCCCAACGCCCCUGAACUUUUUUAUUCUUAGAAUUAAUAAUAGCAUCUGCUCAGUUAAUAUAGUCACCAUAGACCUGACUGUGGACACAUUAACACCACAGUGUCACUGGAAAUCUAUGACUGAAGCUUCGUGAAGAUAAAGGUCAUGAGAGUUUGUAGAUAUUUCAUUUUUGGACAGAAAAAAAAAAGACAAAGCAAAGGACACCUCGCAUUUGUUCUCAGAAGCAGCAUCUACAGUGUGUAGAGAAGACUGCGUUACUGUACCUGAGGAUUGUCCUAGUGCUGGCUGUCUCAUGAGACGGAGGGACACUCAGACAAGCCCCAAGGUGCCAUCUUCCCCAAAAGGGCUCCAGUGUGCAUGGAUCCACAGAGCCAAGGCUGUAAACCGCUGUUUUGGGUCACAUGCAAAUCUCACAAGUGGCUCUUACUUCAGUAAUUCAAAGCUAACUGAUGUUCCAAUCAUUUUACAACUCGAGAAUGUGCGAAUCACAAAUGGAUCAGCCCUAACAAUUGCACUUACAUCAAUUUCUAAAAUAAUGAAGUUCAUUGACUGAAAGAGUGGGAUGGCGCUUGCCAUGGAACAAGGGGAGGAAGAAACGAGGAGUUACUCAUCGGCGCACUUGCUGAUCAGCAGGCGAGACCCAGAGUGGCAUCGGUAGCUAAUGCUGUGCUGUACUCUAUUUGCUGAAAGACAGAAUUGCAGGUUCAUUGUUCUUAUCAUAAUAAAAAGAAAAACUAAUAAACAGCGACUGUUUUCUCUGACUGCUCCAGAUGAAGGGACUGUGGCUCAGAAUGAAAGGCCCCCAGGGACACAGCCCCAGGGCUUUCGUUGGAUUAGCAACCAAACUUGAGAGACUCAGGACCCAUUUAUUGUCUCCCUGCUGUGUGUCCUUCCAGGCCCCAGGUGUUUUUGGAGGAGCAGUUGUGACAUUACUGGAACCCCAGUUAGCCAUGAAUUAUUGAAGGAAGACCCACCCUCCAGAUCUGAGAGGACAGUUUGAAACUUCAAGGCAAAUGGAGAUAUCAGCUUACUUACUUUCAGGGAAAUCCAUGAGAGCAGGAAAAACCAGAUUUCACCACAGUGAAGAAGAGGCAGUAAGGAGCCACUGCAGGCCAGGAACCCAAAACCGGCUUUGCCAGGGGCAGCAGAUGUUUCCUCCCCACACCCAUUGGAUUCUGUCUGUGCUGGUUUUGUGCCAAAGUCUGCUCCCUAAGUGCACACUUCCCUGGAGCCCUGCUCCCCACAAAGCCUUUAAAUGACUCAGAGGCCAGAAGCUGACCCAACGGAUGUGCUGACACAAGAGAUCACUAUUCUGUAUGUAGCAUCUACUUAUUCACAAGGGUGAAAAUGCAUCCUUAUCUACCGUCACCUCACCGAGUGACAGUUCCAUGGCGUCCUCCGAAGGUGUUGGCGUGCCCAUGCUUUCCAAAGCUGGGAAGUGAAGAAGGAAAACUCCCCCGAGGACGGGAGAUUGUUGAUGUUGGCAACAGCCAUGUAUUUUGCAGACUCGGUUGCUGGCGUUGUCCUUGGAGCUGGUGAAGAGCGGAAGUUGGAAUGGUGUGGAGCGGAAGUUAGCGUCUUCUGCUUUGCAAAGGAGGGCAAACAUUCUCAUGGCUCCGAUGUCAUCUCCUGUUGUUAUUUUUAUUGGACUUCUGAAAAAUAGGAUUCCUGGCACAUGGAUUUAUCUUAGGACUCAGCACUGUCGUGUUUUGAGAACAAGAGCGGCGAUGAUGAUAGAUUUGUAGCUGUUGUGGUUUUCUGGCUGAUUUGCUGUGAAUGAAAUGAACACUUGGGGACACCAAAACGCUGUUCCCAGGAUUUUACAUUCUAACUAAAAAUUCAGUGGAAAAUACAGGAGAGAGAGAGAGACAGAGAGAGAGAGAGAGAGAGAGAGAGAGAGAGAGAGAGGAGACUUUAUCUUUGAUCAUUUAUAGGAAUAAAUCCACUUGCGCUUCUUCUGCCUUUUACAAAAAUGUAGUCUUUAAUAUUUAUAUAUAAUCUAUUAUAUAUUGUAUAUACAUUUAUAUAUAAUGUAUAUUAUACAUAGA